UAACAUAGAAAUAAUGCUCAGUACCGCUUUGAAAAUAGUAACUCUUAAGAGACCAAUUUCCAAAACGAUAAAAAACUCUUUUUCUACACUAAGUUUCAGUGGAAGGAGAAGAAUAGAGUUGGUUAAUCUUCAUUGCAAUAUUCCAAUUAUACCAGAUGAAUAACUAUGUAUUUACGUAUAUUUUUAAAGUUCUUUUCCAUU
rnacentral:snRNA from 1 species